UACGAAGGGGGCUAGCGUUGUUCGGAAUUACUGGGCGUAAAGGGUGCGUAGGCGGCGCGGUAAGUCGGGUGUGAAAUCUUGGAGCUUAACUCCGAAACUGCAUUCGAUACUGCCGUGCUUGAGGACUGGAGAGGAGACUGGAAUUUACGGUGUAGCGGUGAAAUGCGUAGAUAUCGUAAGGAAGACCAGUGGCGAAGGCGGGUCUCUGGACAGUUCCUGACGCUGAGGCACGAAGGCCAGGGGAGCAAACGGG
rnacentral:rRNA from 1 species